rnacentral:rRNA from 1 species
AGUGAACGCUGGCGGUAGGCCUAACACAUGCAAGUCGAACGGCAGCACAAGAGAGCUUGCUCUCUGGGUGGCGAGUGGCGGACGGGUGAGGAAUACAUCGGAAUCUACUUUUUCGUGGGGGAUAACGUAGGGAAACUUACGCUAAUACCGCAUACGACCUACGGGUGAAAGCAGGGGACCUUCGGGCCUUGCGCGAUUGAAUGAGCCGAUGUCGGAUUAGCUAGUUGGCGGGGUAAAGGCCCACCAAGGCGACGAUCCGUAGCUGGUCUGAGAGGAUGAUCAGCCACACUGGAACUGAGACAAGGUCCAGACUCCUACGGGAGGCAGCACUGGGGAAUAUUGGACAAUGGGCGCAAGCCUGAUCCAGCCAUACCGCGUGGGUGAAGAAGGCCUUCGGGUUGUAAAGCCCUUUUGUUGGGAAAGAAAUCCAGCCGGCUAAUACCUGGUUGGGAUGACGGUACCCAAAGAAUAAGCACCGGCUAACUUCGUGCCAGCAGCCGCCGUAAAAC